rnacentral:rRNA from 1 species
UACGUAGGGGGCUAGCGUUGUCCGGAAUCAUUGGGCGUAAAGCGCGUGUAGGCGGCCCGAUAAGUCCGCUCUGAAAGCCCGGGGCUCAACCCCGGGAGGCGGGCGGAUACUGUCGGGCUAGAGUCCGGAAGAGGCAAGUGGAAUUCCUGGUGUAGCGGUGAAAUGCGCAGAUAUCAGGAGGAACACCGAUGGCGAAGGCAGCUUGCUGGGACGGUACUGACGCUGAGACGCGAAAGCGUGGGGAGCAAACAGG